rnacentral:rRNA from 1 species
GACGAACGCUGGCGGCGUGCUUAACACAUGCAAGUCGAACGGAAAGGCCCUGCUUUUGUGGGGUGCUCGAGUGGCGAACGGGUGAGUAACACGUGAGUAACCUUCCCUUGACUUUGGGAUAACUUCAGGAAACUGGGGCUAAUACCGGAUAGGAGCUCCUGCUUCAUGGUGGGGGUUGGAAAGUUUCGGCGGUUGGGGAUGGACUCGCGGCUUAUCAGCUUGUUGGUGGGGUAGUGGCUUACCAAGGCUUUGACGGGUAGCCGGCCUGAGAGGGGGACCGGACCCAUCGGGACUGAAAUACGGCACAGACUCCAACGGGAGGCAGCAGUGGGGAAUAUUGCACAAUGGGCGGAAGCCUGAUGCAGCCAAGCCGCGUGCGGGAUGACGGCCAUCGGGUUGUAAACCGCUUUCGCCUGUGACGAAGCGUGAGUGACGGUAAUGGGUAAAGAAGCUCCGGCUAACUACGUG